GACGAACGCUGGCGGCGUGCUUAACACAUGCAAGUCGAACGGAAAGGCCCUGCUUUUGUGGGGUGCUCGAGUGGCGAACGGGUGAGUAUCACGUGAGUAACCUGUCCUUGACUUUGGGAUACCUUCAGGAAACUGGGGCUAAUACCGGAUAGGAGCUCCUGCUGCAUGGUGGGGGUUGGUAAGUUUCGGCGGUUGGGGAUGGACUCGCGGCUUAUCAGCUUGUUGGUGGGGUAGUGGCUUACCAAGGCUUUGACGGGUAGCCGGCCUGAGAGGGUGACCGGCCACAUUGGGACUGAGAUACGGCCCAGACUCCUACGGGAGGCAGCGGUGGGGAAUAUUGCACAAUGGGCGGAAGCCUGAUGCAGCAACUCCGCGUGCUGGAUGACGGCCUUCGGGUUGUAAACCGCUUUCGCCUGUGACGAAGCGUGAGUGACGGUAAUGGGUAAAGAAGCACCGGCUAACUACGUG
rnacentral:rRNA from 1 species